UUUAAGUGCAACGAUGAGUUUUCCGUGCCUAAUUUUGAUCGUCCGUCUUAUUUAAAAAAUAAUAAUAAUUAGUAUUUUUGUUGUUAUGAGAUGAUAAAACAUAAAUAGUAUUUUACUCGUGACUUAUGUUUUUAAAUUUUUUCAAACUUUUUUUAAAAAAACGGACGAUCAAAGUUGGACGCGGAAAACCAUGGCUGCACUUAAA
rfam:Oryza sativa (indica cultivar-group) chromosome 4, whole genome shotgun sequence.